rnacentral:rRNA from 1 species
GAUUCCUACGGGGGGCAGCAGUAGGGAAUCUUCCACGAUGGACGCAAGUCUGACCCAGCAACGCCGCGUGAAGGAAGAAGGCUUUCGGGUUGUAAAAUUCUUUUAAGGGGGAAGAGCAGAAGACGGUACCCCUUGAAUAAGCCACGGCUAACUACGUGCCAGCAGCCGCGGUAAUACGUAGGUGGCACGCGUUGUCCGGAUUUACUGGGUGUAAAGGGAGCGUAGACGGUGUGGCAAGUCUGAAGUGAAAGCCCGGGGCUCAACCCCGGGACUGCGUUGGAAACUGUCCUGCUGGAGUGCUGGAG